GAUGAACGCUAGCGACAGGCCUAACACAUGCAAGUCCGAGGGGCAUCGGGGCGAGGAGCAAUCCUUGCCGCCGGCGACCGGCGCACGGGUGAGUAACGCGUAUGCGACCUGCCCGUUUGCAGGGGGAUAAUCGGGAGAAAUCCCGUCUAAUACCGCGUAACGCCGCGGGGCUGCAUGGCCCUGCGGCCAAAGGAAGCGAUUCCGGCAACGGAUGGGCAUGCGUGACAUUAGCUAGUUGGCGGGGCAACGGCCCACCAAGGCGACGAUGUCUAGGGGUUCUGAGAGGAAGGUCCCCCACACUGGUACUGAGACACGGACCAGACUCCUACGGGAGGCAGCAGUGAGGAAUAUUGGUCAAUGGGCGCGAGCCUGAACCAGCCAAGUCGCGUGAGGGAUGACGGCCCUACGGGUUGUAAACCUCUUUUGUCGGGGAGCAAAUUCCGCCACGUGUGGCGGAGUCGAGAGUACCCGAAGAAAAAGCAUCGGCUAACUCCGUGCCAGCAGCCGCGGUAAUACGGAGGAUGCGAGCGUUAUCCGGAUUUAUUGGGUUUAAAGGGUGCGUAGGCGGACUGUCAAGUCAGCGGUAAAAUACGGGGGCUCAACCUCCGCCCGCCGUUGAAACUGACGGUCUUGAGUGGGCGAGAAGUAUGCGGAAUGCGUGGUGUAGCGGUGAAAUGCAUAGAUAUCACGCAGAACUCCGAUUGCGAAGGCAGCAUACCGGCGCCCAACUGACGCUGAAGCACAAAAGCGUGGGUAUCGAACAGGAUUAGAUACCCUGGUAGUCCACGCAGUAAACGAUGAAUACUAGCUGUCCGGGGCGAAUGAGCCCUGGGUGGCACAGCGAAAGCGUUAAGUAUUCCACCUGGGGAGUACGCCGGCAACGGUGAAACUCAAAGGAAUUGACGGGGGCCCGCACAAGCGGAGGAACAUGUGGUUUAAUUCGAUGAUACGCGAGGAACCUUACCCGGGCUCAAACGACACAGGAACGGUCCUGAAAGGGGUCGGCUCUACGGAGCCUGUGUCGAGGUGCUGCAUGGUUGUCGUCAGCUCGUGCCGUGAGGUGUCGGCUUAAGUGCCAUAACGAGCGCAACCCCCAUCGACAGUUGCUAACAGGUUAAGCUGAGGACUCUGUCGAGACUGCCGGCGCAAGCUGCGAGGAAGGCGGGGAUGACGUCAAAUCAGCACGGCCCUUACGUCCGGGGCGACACACGUGUUACAAUGGCAGGUACAGCGGGAAGCCACCUGGCGACAGGGAGCGGAACCCGAAAGCCUGUCUCAGUUCGGAUUGGAGUCUGCAACCCGACUCCAUGAAGCUGGAUUCGCUAGUAAUCGCGCAUCAGCCGCGGCGCGGUGAAUACGUUCCCGGGCCU
rnacentral:rRNA from 1 species